ensembl:snoRNA
UUUCUGUGAUGACCUCCUUUUUGAGCCAUCGUGUCUGGGCCACUGAUAACUCUGAUGGAACUGAGGAUCUGAGCAG